rnacentral:rRNA from 1 species
CACGUAGGGGGCAAGCGUUGUCCGGAUUUAUUGGGCGUAAAGAGCUCGUAGGUGGCUUAGUAAGUCGGGUGUGAAACCUCCAGGCUCAACCUGGAGACGCCACCCGAUACUGCUAUAGCUUGAGUCCGGUAGGGGAGCGUGGAAUUCCUGGUGUAGCGGUGAAAUGCGCAGAUAUCAGGAGGAACACCGAUGGCGAAGGCAGGUCUCUGGGCCGAUACUGACGCUGAGGAGCGAAGCGUGGGGAGCGAACAGG